rnacentral:tRNA from 1 species
CGGGGCAUAGCGAAGCUUGGUAUCGCGCUACGUUCGGGACGUAGAGAUCGCUGGUUCAAAUCCAGCUGCCCCGACCA